rnacentral:rRNA from 1 species
UACAGAGGGGGCAAGCGUUAUUCGGAAUUAUUGGGCGUAAAGGGCGCGUAGGCGGCCUGGCAAGUGGAAGGUGAAAUCCCUCGGCUUAACCGAGGAACUGCCUUCCAAACUGCUUGGCUUGAGUCCGGGAGAGGUGAGUGGAAUUCCCAGUGUAGCGGUGAAAUGCGUAGAUAUUGGGAGGAACACCAGUGGCGAAGGCGUCUCACUGGACCGGAACUGACGCGGAGGCGCGAAAGCGUGGGGAGCAAACGGG